CUGCUACAGUCUGACCGGUCUCCCUUGUUCUUAUAAAUAUUGACGUAAAGAAACUUGCCCAUAAUUUCACCCUGUCCGGAGGAUCGAAGCCGGGACCCCUCGCUUGCGAGGCGAAUAUGCUGACCAUUACACCCUACACCAUUACUCACUGUACACAUCCACAACCAAUCAGUACACACACCCAUCAAGAUUCGCCACACUCACCUGCUAUAAACACCACUAUACACAUUUUUCACCAUUCACUGUACAUACCCACCAGUCAUAACACACACAACCACUCCUCAGUUCUAUAAUGAGAAACGCUUUAUAAUUAUUCGUUCUUCAUUAAUCUUUUAUAGGCACGUUCAACAACCUUCCCUUCCUAUAUAGUUUGAAUCUGAAUGCUAACUCACUAACCGAGUUACUCGCGAACUCUGCAGAUGGAAGUUAUUUCAACAAUUAUGUCACCCUUCAGUAUAACACCUAAGCACCGUGGAGGUUAAUGCCAUUUCAGGUCUCCGGACAUCUGACGAAGUGAACUUAAAUAACAACCAGCUGAUGUUAGUGGAGGAGGAGGUGUGGCGGCUGCUGCUACAGGAAGGUGUGAACCUCGACCUUGUUGAUAAUCCUCUCGAAUGUGGUUUGCGAUAUUGCUUGGAUUAUACUCAACACCGAUUACCUCAACCUCGUAAAUAGAGGACUACCUGCAGUAGCGGAGGCGUCUGGUGGACCCAGAACCUGAAAUCUUCAAAAUAAUUGCAACUAAUUGGGUUGUUGGUGGUGGGUCCUGUUGGUACUUAUAUGAUCAUCGAACAGCUACUCUUUCACUACCAUCAUACCUCUGGACACCUGUAAGUGAAGCAAAGUUCGGUCAGUUGGACUCUUCAGGACUAAAGUUGUCACCCAUCAUUCAGUGUUGAAGCCGUAUAUCAACCGAAAUAUCGAUUCGUAUGAAGACUUAUUUAAACAUAUGCCUUCU